rnacentral:rRNA from 1 species
AAUCAACGCUGGCGGCGUGCCUCAGACAUGCAAGUCGAACGCGAAAUUUCCCUUCGGGGAGAAAGUAGAGUGGCGCACGGGUGAGUAACACGUAGGUAAUUUGCCUUUGGGUGGGGAAUAACAGUCGGAAACGGCUGCUAAUACCGCAUAAUGCAGCGGCUCGACAUCGAGACAGUUGUUAAAGCGGGGGAUCGCAAGACCUCGCGCCUGAAGAGAAGCCUGCGGCAGAUUAGCUAGUUGGUAGGGUAAUGGCCUACCAAGGCAACGAUCUGUAACCGGCCUGAGAGGGCGGUCGGUCACACUGACACUGACAUACGGGUCAGACUCCUACGGGAGGCAGCAGUCGGGAAUUUUGGGCAAUGGGCGAAAGCCUGACCCAGCAACGCCGCGUGAAGGAUAGUAAAUUUUCGGAAUGUAAACUUCGCAAGAACAGGAAGAAUAAGUAGAAGAUAA